GUUUGCUAAAUCCUGAGAAUUAUUAAAAACACUUAUGUAUUCCAUUUCCCCUUUCUAUCCAAUCAGACUCAGGUAUCUUCUCUUCUUUUCUUCCUCAAUAAUCCCAAUCAUCAUCUUCUCAACUGAAAUUCAUCCUCAUCAUCAUCACCAUCUUCUUCUUCUUCUCAUUAGAUGCUGUAGUAACACAACACCUCCGCCAAAACCUUACUACCACUAUGACUUGCUUGGAGUUUCCGUCGACGCAGAUUCUCUCCAAAUCAGACAAGCUUACAGGAAGUUGCAAAAGAAAUUUCAUCCCGACAUCGCAGGCCCAAGGGUCUUCUCUUUUUUCUUUUUUUACAUAGUUUCUCUUAAGGUUCAUGAUUUCACUCUAAUGCUGAAUGAAGCGUAUAAGGUCUGAGGAGAGAUUAUGAUGCUUCAAUUGGAAGAAACUCCUGUGCUUUGGGUUAUAGCUCAUGGAAUGGCCCACUUAGACCCCAAGCUCUCUUUGUCGAUCCAAAUGUCUGCAUAGGGCUGCAGGGAGUGCGUACACCAUGCAAGUAAUACAUUCGAGAUGGAUGAAGCUCUUGGGUGUGCUAGAGUCAAAGUUCAAUAUGGAGAUGAUGACCAUAAAAUUGAGGUAACAUUUUGCUCCAGAGGGAGGAAUUAGGAGUGUAAGAAUUUCUUGUUCAACCUCAACCAACGGAAGGGUAUGGCGUAUAUGGAGGUGGUUGGGAAAGACCUGCAAAUAUUUUCAUGGCAGCUAAAUCAUUUAACAAGCAGCAAAAACGGAAAGCUGCAACUGAUAUGCUGCCAGCAAAAUAAAUGUUGAAGAACAAAACCCGGUUGAAGCAACAUCUCCACCAAACUUUUAUCAUAAACAUGGAGCUUGACAGGUUCUCUAGAUUUUGGAAUUUCUUCAAAGUUUUUGGCUCAAAUUUGUGAAAUAGGCCUCAAUGAGGUUUCGAAAAUAUUUGACUUGAGUUGCUCCUCAAGAAGAUAAAAUAGGUCAGUUUUAGUAAUUUUCCAAAUCUUAUUCUACUCCAGGAGUAUAUUGUAAGAACAUUCCAUGUUAUGUUUUCCUUUUCUUGGUUCAUGAAAUAUACUAUUCCUAUUAAAAUAUCAUAAGAUUGAAUGACAAUAUUGUUUUGGAGGGUUCA